AUUGAACGCUGGCGGCAGGCCUAACACAUGCAAGUCGAACGAGUGGCGGACGGGUGAGUAAUGUCUGGGAAUCUGCCUGGUGGAGGGGGAUAACGUCCGGAAACGGGCGCUAAUACCGCAUACCAUCAGAUGAACCCAUAUCGGAUUAGCUUGUAGGUGGGGUAACGGCUCACCCAGGCGACGAUCCCUAGCUGGUCUGAGAGGAUGAUCAGCCACACUGGAACUGAGACACGGCCCAGACUCCUACGGGAGGCAGCAGUGGGGAAUAUUGGACAAUGGGCGAAAGCCUGAUCCAGCCAUGCCGCGUGUGUGAAGAAGGCCUUCGGAUUGUAAAGUACUUUCAGUUGGGAGGCGUUACCAACAGAAUAAGCACCGGCUAACUCCGUGCCAGCAGCCGCGGUAAUAC
rnacentral:rRNA from 1 species